AGGACAUUCCAUUGGGCUAGAGAGGGAGAACUACUCAGCUGGCUUACUGAAAGACACAGGUGUGGGACUUCAUCAGCAGAUGCAAGCCUGGAGCCACCUCACAGCAGAGAGGAGUAGGAACUCUGAGUAUGGAAGCCCCUUCCUCUCCUACACCAAGUUACUCACAGCACCAUGAUGGGCAGCAGUAGAAGGAUUAGAAACCACACCGCCCUGAUAAGAGUUGAAAUUUGCUUCAACUGGCUCUUAAGCUGACAUGAGAUUGUGCUAGUUGGAAGAUACCAAGAUACUCUUAAAAGAGAAGAUGAAGUUCUCUUGUUUCAACCCCUAUUACUAUUGACUGUCAACUUCCCAAAAGAUCCCAGAAAAACAUGUUAAUGGAACAAAACUAAGUUUAUUAGAUUUACUGUAGUAUAAGAGAAUACCACCUUGGUAGAGUCUUGAUAGUGUCUCAGGUUGACAAAGUCAAGGUCUGCACUGGAGGACUUCUAAGGUAGCUUCUGCAAGGUGGGGAGUAGCUUGGGACUGGGCAGGGUUUCUACCCUAACAAUUCUCAAUUGGUAAUCCCUGCAAGGCCAAGGAUCCUGAAGCAAAUCUUGAUAAGAAAGAUACUGGAUUUGAUAAGCUAGCUAUUUUAGUGGAUUUACUGCCUCAUUUUUGGUAAGCAAGUCUUCCUGAAGUAAGCAGGUGAACUGGGAGUACCGCACACAGCAUGGCUUCCAGCCUGAAGUGACUGACUGUAAAACGCCAGUGAAUAGAGAGGCUCAAGACUGAGUAAAGGAUCCUGCACACUCAACAAGCUCAUCCUUCUCUGCACCCGAGAUGUUUAGAGUCCCAGUUACAGAGCUUUCAGAAGGCAGAAUUCGUCCACAGCACACUAUUGAUGCCUAUCGAAGCUAAGGAAAUUAACUAAGAAGGGAAGAAAUAAUCUCCAUAGAAAAGGGAUUUGAGAACCCAGAAGAGAGUAUGGGCCUGGCAGUGUGCAUGUUGCAAACUAUGCACCAUCACUGGCCUAAAACGCACCUCUGUGUGCAUCAUUUACUAACGUUUAAAAAUCACCCUCUACUUGUUCUCCUGUGACCCUCAUUGGACUAUAUCCAGACAGCACUGAAAGUGAUAGCCAGAAAAAGUAGAAACAACCCAUGUGUUCAUCCACUGACGAACGGAUCAAAACAUGUGGCAUGUCCAUCCAUACAAGGGGAUAUUACCCAGCAGUCAAAAGGAGCAAAGAACUGAUGCAUACCACACCAUGGCUGAUUCUCAACGGUAUGUUCAGUGAAAGAAACCAGUCACAAAAGCCCAUGUACUGUAUGGUUCUAUUUAUAUGAACUGCGUGGAGGAGGCACCUAGUGGUUGCCAGGGGCUUGGGAUGGGGGUGGAGGGCAGGAAUGGGGAAUGCCUGCCGCCACCAUGGGGUUUCUUUGUGAGGUAAUUAAAAUGUUCUAAAA